GUGUUUAACGGCCGCGGUAUUUUAACCGCGCGAAGGUAGCGUAAUCACUUGUCUUUUAAAUGGAGACCUGUAUGAAUGGCAUAACGAGGGUUUGACUGUCUCCUCCACCCAGUCAAUGAAAUUGAUCUGCCCGUGCAGAAGCGGGCAUAAGCACAUAAGACGAGAAGACCCUAUGGAGCUUUAGGCAAAUGACCAGGCAAAACAAGUCACGGCCCUUAAUAAGCCUAGAAAAACAAAAGCUAAUGAUCAAAAUGCCUUCGGUUGGGGCGACCAUGGAGGAAACAAAAUCCUCCAAGCGGAAAGGGACAACCCUUGAACCAAGAGAGACACCUCGAAGUAACAGAAUUUAUGACCAACUAUGACCCAGGAUUUAACCUGAUCAACGGACCUAGUUACCCUAGGGAUAACAGCGCAAUCCUCUCCCAGAGUCCCUAUCGACGAGGGGGUUUACGACCUCGAUGUUGGAUCAGGACAUCCUAAUGGUGCAGCCGCUAUUAAGGGUUCGUUUGUUCAACGAUUAAU
rnacentral:rRNA from 1 species